UCCCUGGUGGUCUAGCGGCUGAAGAUCCCGCGCUCUCGAGGCCCGGGUUCAAUUCCCGGGCAGGGAA